GUGGGGAAUCUUCCGCAAUGGACGAAAGUCUGACGGAGCGACGCCGCGUGAGUGAAGAAGGCCUUCGGGUCGUAAAGCUCUGUCAUCAGGGACGAACGGCCGGUGGAGUGGAAAGCCACCGGAUUGACGGUACCUGAGAAGGAAGCCACGGCUAACUACGUGCCAGCAGCCGCGGUAAUACGUAGGUGGCAAGCGUUGUCCGGAAUUAUUGGGCGUAAAGCGCGCGCAGGUGGGAUCUUAAGUCCAUUUUUAAAGUUCGGAGCUCAACUCCGUGAUGGGAUGGAAACUGGGAUUCUUGAGUACCGGAGAGGAAAGCGGAAUUCCCCGUGUAGCGGUGAAAUGCGUAGAUAUGGGGAGGAACACCAGUGGCGAAGGCGGAUUACUGGACGAUAACUGACGCUGAGGCGCGAAAGCGUGGGGAGCAAACAGGAUUAGAUACCCGGGGUAGUCC
rnacentral:rRNA from 1 species